rnacentral:rRNA from 1 species
UAAGGAAUAUUGGUCAAUGGAGGCAACUCUGAACCAGCCAUGCCGCGUGCAGGAAGAAGGCCCUAUGGGUCGUAAACUGCUUUUGAACAAGAGAAAACCCCGGUACGUGUACUGGGUUGAUAGUAUUGUUAGAAUAAGCAUCGGCUAACUUCGUGCCAGCAGCCGCGGUAAGACGAAGGAUGCAAGCGUUAUCCGGAUUCAUUGGGUUUAAAGGGCGCGUAGGCGGCAUGACAAGUCACUUGUGAAAUCUCUGGGCUUAACCCAGAACGGCCAAGUGAUACUGUCGCGCUAGAGUGCAGAAGGGGCAAUCGGAAUUCUUGGAGUAGCGGUGAAAUGCGUAGAUAUCAGGAGGAACACCUAUGGCGAAAGCAGGUUACUGGCCCAAUACUGACGCUGAGCUGCGAAAGCUAGGGGAGCAAGCAGGAUUAGAUACCC